rnacentral:tRNA from 1 species
GCGCUGAUGGUCAAACUGGCAAAGGCGCUCGAUUUAGACUCGAGAGAUGUGCGGGUUCGAGUCCCGCUCGGCGCA